GACGAACGCUGGCGGCGUGCCUAAUACAUGCAAGUCGAGCGCAGGAAACUGACGGAACUCUUCGGAGGGAAGGCAGCGGAAUGAGCGGCGGACGGGUGAGUAACACGUAAGGAACCUGCCUCAAGGAUUGGGAUAACUCCGAGAAAUCGGAGCUAAUACCGGAUAGUUCAACGGACCGCAUGGUCCGCUGAUGAAAGGCGCUCCGGCGUCACCUUGAGAUGGCCUUGCGGUGCAUUAGCUAGUUGGUGGGGUAACGGCCCACCAAGGCGACGAUGCAUAGCCGACCUGAGAGGGUGAUCGGCCACACUGGGACUGAGACACGGCCCAGACUCCUACGGGAGGCAGCAGUAGGGAAUCUUCCACAAUGGACGAAAGUCUGAUGGAGCAACGCCGCGUGAGUGAUGAAGGUUUUCGGAUCGUAAAACUCUGUUGUAAGGGAAGAACACGUACGAGAGGAAAUGCUCGUACCUUGACGGUACCUUACGAGAAAGCCACGGCUAACUACGUGCCAGCCGCCGCCGUAA
rnacentral:rRNA from 1 species